ACCACCAGUGAUGAGUUGAAUAAUGCCCCAUCUGAUCAAUAUGCAUGGAAGAUAUUUUCUGAGCUGUG
ensembl:snoRNA SNORD31 Small nucleolar RNA SNORD31